GUAAAGGAUGUGAUGAUAAUAUCUUUUUUCCCCAACUUAUCGACAAUGAUGAGAAAAAUAGCUGAUUAUUUAGCCAGAUUAUCUGAUCCUUUUGU